GCCUACAAAUGUACAUUUCAGUUGUUUGGUGCCGGGGAGUAAUUCCCAGGACACGGAGCUGCGGACCCGCCGCUAACAUCAAGCAGGUCCAACUGCAUAACUGAGGGCAGUCCUCACACUGCCCUGUGGGAAAAACUACUAUUUGACUGUUGGUCUCUGUAGCCGCAUUGCACUGAAGUACCUCCCCUCCACUCAUCAUGGUGCAAGAUUCUCCUAGCUUCAUGAACCGUGAUGUGAGCAAAUAAACUAAGCUCUUUUACUUGCUUUGUUGGAAGAGGGGGCCCAGGGUCACAGUGGCCCUGAGAGCACAUUGGGCUGGUAAUAAGGAUUUGAUCCCAUUUCUACAAAUUUCCAGCCCAGGGUUCCCUUUUCUCAAGUUGGACACAUGAUUCAUUUGUUCAAUUUCAUUAAGUAGCUGAAAACUGAACUUGGAUGCUGGAGAUAAAAUGGUGGACAGAAUAGAAAAAAAUCCCCGGCUCUCCCCAAGCUUAUGUGCCCAGAGCAAAGAAAUUUCAGUGUGUUACAAUGCUAUGGUAUCAAAACCGGAACAGUGAUGAUGGGGCAACAGACAGAUCAAUAGAUUGAAGUCGAAGACCCAGAGGCAUAUUCAAGGAUAUAUAAAUGUCACUCUUCUAUAUACUAUAUAUUUUAAAACCACAGUGCCAUGGCAAAGUCUCCAGAAAGGCUUCCAGCAUUCCCCACCUCCCAAUUCACACUCUGGGCUUUGGAUCACUUGUACUGGGGAAGGAGGCUGUAGCAGGAGAGGAUGCUGGGAGCAGCCUCUGGAGAAGCCCACAUGACUAGGAACUGAGAACCCUAGCUGACAGCCAGCACAUCAGUGAGGACUGCCAGCAAACGUGUGAGUGAGCUUGGAAGUGGAUCUUCCCGCAGCUGAGUCUUCAGAGGGCCUCAGUUCAAGCGACCCAGAACCGCUCAGCUCUGCCAUUCCCACAGGCCUGACUCCCAGAAACCCUGUGAGAUUAGUGUUUGUUGUUUUAAGCUGCUCUGCUAAGUUUUGGGUUAAGUCAUUACUCAAUAGAUAAUUAAAACACAUGGCGAAUAAAUAAAAUCAGUAAGAACAAUGCGGGUCAAUGAUUAGCGAGUUAGGUGCUUUGACAGGUUCUGACAUGUUCUGUUUCAUCUUAAUUGUUUUGCCUCAAAAGUAAUCCCUUCGGGCAAAACAUGUUAAGAGUGGUUCCCAACAGGAUGUUAGAAAAAUUAACUGUUAGCUUUGGGAACUAAAGUGUAACCACAGCAUUAUUUUCCAUUUUAUUUAACUCAUUAAAUGGUAUUGCAGUAUAUUUAUUUCUGUUAAAAAACAUGAUAUUAGAGUCUGGGAGAAAACCUCUUGCAAAUCAGUCUGAAACUAUCGUUUCUUUCUAGCAGUGUAUAAUAAUAUUAUAAUUGCUUAGCGGAACAUCCUAAGAGAUGGACUGACUUUAACACAUAUUUAAGCCUAAUAUUUAGACAAAAAAGUUCCUUUACAGUAUUUGAAGACAGCUUUCUCCUGUGUACCCCCUCCUUUCUACAACUAAGAUGGUUUGCAAUCUCUGUCAUUAUUCUUGGUAGAAGAUGAAACUUCAGUAGAGUACCUAUGUGAAUUCUAACAAUUUCUGAACUAGUGAAGCCCCACAUAAUGAAGAUUUAUCAUGUCUAAGGGAACUGGAAAACGCUAAAAUCCCAAGUUAUGACUCAAGGCAAUUGUUCCAAGCAGCCUGUGUCCCUGCCAGGAUUACGCCACGAGCGUUCUCCAUGCUCCACUAAGGUUGGAAUUCAGCUUUUGGUACUAACUUGUCUCAGUCUUGGACACAACGGUAAUUUCAUUUUCCUAUUUGUUCUCCAUCAACUAGAAUGACUAGUAGUAAUUGAUUUUUCCAUG